rnacentral:rRNA from 1 species
ACGGAGGAUGCAAGCGUUAUCCGGAUUCAUUGGGUUUAAAGGGUGCGUAGGCGGCUUUUUAAGUCAGUGGUGAAAUCCUGUCGCUUAACGAUAGAAUUGCCAUUGAUACUGAGGAGCUUGAGUUCAGUUGAGGUAAGCGGAAUGUGUAGUGUAGCGGUGAAAUGCUUAGAUAUUACACAGAACACCGAUUGCGAAGGCAGCUUACUAAACUGACACUGACGCUGAUGCACGAAAGCGUGGGGAGCGAACAGGAUUAGAUACCCUGGUAGUCCACGCCGUAAACGAUGAUCACUCGCUGUAUGCGAUACACAGUAUGCGGCCAAGCGAAAGCAUUAAGUGAUCCACCUGGGGAGUACGAUCGCAAGGUUG